UCGUCGAGUGGCCGCUUCUAAAGCCGAA
rnacentral:sRNA from 1 species